rnacentral:rRNA from 1 species
GACGAACGCUGGCGGCGUGCUUAACACAUGCAAGUCGAACGGAAAGGCCCUGCUUUUGUGGGGUGCUCGAGUGGCGAACGGGUGAGUAACACGUGAGCAACCUGCCCUUGACUUUGGGAUAACUUCAGGAAACUGGGGCUAAUACCGGAUAGGAGCUCCUGCUGCAUGGUGGGGGUUGGAAAGUUUCGGCGGUUGGGGAUGGACUCGCGGCUUAUCAGCUUGUUGGUGGGGUAGUGGCUUACCAAGGCUUUGACGGGUAGCCGGCCUGAGAGGGUGACCGGCCACAUUGGGACUGAGAUACGGCUCAGACUCCUACGGGAGGCAGCAGUGGGGAAUAUUGCACAAUGGGCGGAAGCCUGAUGCAGCAACGCCGCGUGCGGGAUGACGGCCUUCGGGUUGUAAACCGCUUUCGCCUGUGACGAAGCGUGAGUGACGGUAAUGGGUAAAGAAGCACCGGCUAACUACGUG